UUAGAGUUUGAUUCCCUGCUCAGGAUGAACGCUGGCGGCGUGCCUAAUGCAUGCAAGCCGAACGGCCUGAUUUAUCAGGCAGUGGCAGACGGGUGAGUAACGCGUAAGAACUUACCCUGAAGUGGGGGACAACCUCGAGAAAUCGGGGCUAAUACCGCAUACGCUCCGCAAGGAGGAAAGCUUCGGCGCUUUAGGAUGGGCUUGCGCCCGAUUAGCUAGUUGGUGAGGUAAUGGCCCACCAAGGCUCAGAUCGGUAGCUGGUCUGAGAGGAUGAUCAGCCACACUGGAAUUGAGAUACGGUCCAGACUCCUACGGGAGGCAGCAGCAGGGAAUAUUGCGCAAUGGGUGAAAGCCUGACGCAGCAACGCCGCGUGGGGGAUGACGGCUUUCGAGUUGUAAACCCCUUUUCUUGGGGAAGAUAAUGACGUACCCGAGGAAUAA
rnacentral:rRNA from 1 species